UAACAUACAUAGUGUAAAUUAGCCAAUCAGAUUGUCACUUUUGACACUCCUCUCACCGUCUCUACUGCAUUGUUAAUUAUCGUAUUUUGCAUUUGUGAUAUUGUUUUGUUUGUUUGUUUGUUGGCAAUAUAUUUUAUUUAUAUUUUAUUCUAUUUUAUUAAUAUUUCAUUCCGUUUUAUUUUAUUUUAUUUUAUUUUAUUUUAUUUUAUUCUAUUUUAUUUUAUCCGGCCUCGGUUUUUUUUUUUUUAGAGAAUCACCGAAAAUAUAGUAAUGGCUUGGAAGGUAAGGGAUUGGGAAAUGGUAGUGGUUGUGGUGCCAGUGGUAUUGGUUGUAGAGGUGGCGACGAUGAUGAUGGUGGUAGCGGUGGUAGCGGUGGUAGUUGAGGUAGUGGUGAUGAUGGUGGUUGCGGAGGUUGUAGUAGCGAUGGCAAUGACGGUGCUUGCGGUGGUGGUGGUGGUUAUAUUGCUUUGGCGGCGGUUGAGUUUGUGUUCGCGGCGAUGGUGGUUGUGUCGUGUUGGUGGUGGUUGUGUUAUGUUUGCGGUGGUUGUGUUGGCGGUAGUUGGCUACUGUACAAUGUUAGUAAUUGUUGGCAGUAGUUGUGUGGUCUCUGGUGGUAGUGUUGGGGGUGAUGGUGGUUGUAUCCGUGGUGGUUGUGUUAGUGUUGGUAGUAGUUGUGUUGGUGGUGGCGAAGGUGUUUGCGUUGGUGGGGAUCCUGAUGGUGGUAGUGGUGGUGGCGAUGGUGGUAGUUGUAAUGGUGGCUUGGUGAUGGUGGUGGUGGUGGUGGUUGUGAUGAUGACGGCGGUGAUGGUGGUGGUUGUAAUGGUGGCGGUGGUGAUGGUGGUGGUUGUGAUGAUGUCAGUGGCGAUGGUGGUGGUUGUCGUCGUGUUGGUGGUUGUCGUCGUGUUGGUGGUUGUAUCGACGGUGGUGAUGGUGGUGAUGGUGAUGAUAACGGUGAUGGCUAUGGUUGUUGUUGGUGGUGGUUGUGAUAGUUGUGGUGAUGGUGGCGGUGGUGUUGAUGGUGGUGGAGGUUGUGUUGGUAGUGAUAGCAGUGGUGGUGGUAGUUUCCUUAGUGGUUGUGUUGAAGGUGGUGUCAAUAGCGUUUGCGGUUAUUGUGGUGAUGAUGAUUGCAAUGGUGCUGGUAAUAAAUGGCGCUCCAAUUACGACCAUUCCGACUUGUGCAUAUACCUCGAAGGACAACAAAAUGUCCUUCCAUUUUUGAAGACGAGAACAUUUGGCCGCUAUUUCUAGCUGGUUGAGUCACCAUGUAGAAGCUAUCGUGAUGCUGUUGUUGAUUAUGCUGACGAUGGAGAUUGUGAAAGGGACUGAAGAUGUAGCUGCAUGGUUAGUGGUAUUGGUGGUAAUGGUGCUGAUGUCAGUGGUGGUGAUGGUGGUGGUGAUGGUGGUGGUGGUGGUGGUGGUGAUGGUAGUGCUGCUGAUGUUAGUGGUGGUGAUGGUGGUGGUAGUGGUGAUGGUAGUGGUGGUGAUGUUAGUGCUGCUGAUGAUGGUGGUGGUGGUGAUGGUAGUGGUGCUGAUGUUAGUGGUGGUGAUGGUGGUGGUAGUGGUGAUGGUAGUGGUGGUGAUGUUAGUGCUGCUGAUGAUGGUGGUGGUGGUGAUGGUAGUGGUGCUGAUGUUAGUGUGGUGAGUGGUGAUGGUAGUGGUGGUGAUGUUAGUGCUGCUGAUGAUGGUGGUGGUGGUGAUGGUAGUGGUGGUGAUGGUAGUGGUGGUGGUGAUGGUGCUGGUGUUAGUGGUGGUGGCUGUACUAGUAAUUCUGAAGGUGUCUAUGUCGAGGUGGUGGUAGUUGUAUUAGGGUGCUUGGGUUGUAGUAGUGUGGUGAUGACGAUCGAGCUGUUUGUUGUGGCUGCGGUCGUGGCGGUGGUGAUGGCGCUAGUGUCGCACCUGUCGUUAUAUCUUUAUACUUACCUUCAGCUGUGUAUGUGUGUGUGUGCGUGCGUGCGUGCGUGUGUUUGUGUGUGUGCAUGCUUAUACUAUUUCUCUCUUUCUCUCUCUCUCACGUACACACACAUACACGCACACGCACACAUGCACACAUACACGCACACAUGCACACAUACACGCACACACACACAUAUGCAUAACCAACACAGACACAAACACACACACGCUCACACACACUCACACAGACACACAGACACAAGCACAAACACAAACACACACAUGCAUUCAUAUACAUACACUAAAAUAUGUGAAUAUUCGCGCGCACACGCACACACACACUUCGACACGCACGAAUAGCUGUAUAAUGUAUGCUUGUAAACGGAAAUUCUAUAUAUAGCAUUUACUAAAUAUAGAGCGCUAUAUAUAAAUAUGCUAUAUAUAUAUGUAUGUCUGUAUGUAUGUAUGUAUGUAUGUAUUAUGUAUAUGCAUAUGCGUGUGUAUGUGUCUUUAUGUAUGUAAAGACACAUACAUACAUGCAUACAUACAUACAUACAUACAUACAUGCAUGCAUACAUACAUACAUAUAUACAUACAUAUAUGUGUG
rnacentral:lncRNA from 1 species